rnacentral:misc_RNA from 1 species
AGCAUCACGUCUUAGCAUAAUUCAAGAAAGGGUCGCACCCCAAAAAGUGUGAUGUAUACAGACUAACGUGGGAUCAUUUACAAAAGAAAGAUGACUAUCGUAAACUUGUUUAUAUCAAAUCAAAAAAAUGCCCUUUUAGCGCGUAAUCAUUUAACCAAACUUUUGUAAUUCUCUAAUACAUGAACAAUACACUUGUUCAUGUGUACUGUUUUCUGGUGAUCUCACACUCUCACAGUUGGCAUAUGAAAUUUCUCAAAUCGCGGUUCAGUUAAAUCAACUGAUUCAUCAUCAUGUAAACUCCAACUUUUGGAAUUUGAACUCUGGAGCAGCAGAUUUUCGACAUAUGCUGCUGGAAUAACGUCUUCUUUUGGAUCAUUAGAUACUCUACAAUGAAUGAAAGCACAAUUUGGCAACAAACAGUGAGCUGCGCGAUUCUCUGAUGUGAUUUGCUUGAUCUCCUCGGCUUCAACAAAGCCCGAACUUUCUCCAUUACUCUUGUUGUCAUAACUGAAUGAGCCCUUGAAGUCAUCUCUCGAGAAGUGUUUCCGGUUAGAUGUUUCAGGUGCAAUAGUUGACAAAAUUUGAACAACCUCACUCAUAGUUGGCCGAGAAUCAGGGUCCAGUAGAAGACACUCCUUAGCCAAGUAAGCCAUGACCUGCAAUUCUUCCUCUUCAAAUUCUCCAUUCAGAUUUGGAUCAGGCAAUUCUGAGACCACACGUUUACUGUCUAGUAGACGAGGCGUGGCCCAUAUCACGAGGCUCUCUUCUGCUUUGUUGGCUGACUUAUGGAUUGGUUGUCGUCCAGUUAUCAGUUCAAGUAGCACAACUCCAAAGCUAAAAACAUCCGAUUUCAGAGAAGCUCUUCCGAUAAUUGCAUAUUCAGGUGCAAAAUAGCCAAAUGUCCCCUGCAUCCGCGCAGGAGAGCUGGAACAGCUAGGAAUACCAUCAUUUUGGAGGUGCUUUGCCAUACCAAGAUCAGUAAUCUUAGCUCUGUAGUUAUCAUCCAGUAGGACGUUAGUAGAUUUAACAUCGCGGUGUAAGAUUCUUGGUGCAGCUGCUUCAUGAAGAUACUCCAAGCCACGCGCAGCUCCAAAAGCAACUGCAACCCGUGUGCUCCAAUCCAGAUGUCUCCCAGAAGCCCCAUCCAGACAAUCUCUCAGAUUGCCAUUUUCCAUGAAUUCGAAAACAAGCAGCCUCUCUGCAUGUUUACCGUGAUGCUCGGAGCAGUAGCCAAGCAACGGAACCACAUGACGAUGAUGAAGUCUUGAAAUGAGUUCAAUCUCCGUCAAGAAAGCAAAGUCACCGUCCUGCCCUGCCUGAGUUUUAAUUCGUUUAAUUGCCAGAGUUUUUCCAUCUUUGAAAUAACCACGGUAGACGCGGCUGCUUCCUCCCACCCCAAUCAAAUUGGAAUCAGAGAACUUAUUAGUUGCACUCUCUAAGUCAGCAUAUGAAAAUUGAAUAAUCGUUCCAUAAAACACUUCUGGUUUUCUUUUGAAAAGAUUGGAUGCUUUGGGAACACAACCUGUAAUACAAUUGGAGGAACCCGUGUAUCCUCCAUGUUCUCCAAUUGAAGUUGCUUGGCUUAGUAUUAAGUUGGUAGCACUGUUGCAACUUGUAUCUUUGUCGGACGAAAAUAGAGAUCGUUGAAUAGAAUAUUUAUCCCUUCUAUAGGCAUAGCACAACAUCGAAGCAACGAAACCAAGAGUGAUGACCGCCGCACAUAGUAAGAGAAUGACCAAAAUAACUUUACUGGAUAUCUUCUUCUUUGCGGACUGCAUUUCAAGUUGAGUUCCGUAACGACAAUCACAGGCUGUAAAACAACUGCUGUGAUUAUGAUCAGCAGCCACUUUAGGAAAUCCAUCAACUGCACAUAUACAUAUCCAUUUGUUCUUGCUUGAUUCGUCAAUAGUGCAAUCACAUGAUGAUGAACAGUUUUCGGGAACAGAAAAACUUGGGUUGGCGAGACAGCUGCAGGUCCAAUUACUUGUUACAGAUGCAUUAUGCACUUGUUCAUCGCCAACAAUUUUCUGUAUCCACACCAAGGUAAUGAUGAGAGCAAUUGCAGCUUCCUUUCGACCCCUCAUUUCUUGUUGUCAAAUCACAAAGAGUAGUUCAUUCACGAAAUCUUCAUCUCAAGAACCAUUAUUAUCAUCAAUGAUAUCCGGGUAGUUAGUUAGUCUCCUGAUAGAAAGUGAUGCUCAACUAACAGUUGUAAAUGCAAAGAUCGAAGAAUUGAGAUGACAUAGUGUUCGUAACAUUUGGAAGGAAAGAAACACAAUUCCAC